AUAGUUAACUUGGGAGGUACAGACCAUGGGCAUCCAGGGAGAGGCCUGGGAGCAGGCAGGCCUCCUGAAGGAGGACUUGGGAAGGAUGGGAGCGUGGGCAGGAUUUGCUGGACAGAGGCAAGCCCAGCCCUCUCUCUAAGGACCAGUGUCACACACCGAGUCCUGUCUCCUUUUGACCCACCGUACUGGGGAGAAAGGUCUUUUCUCCCGGCAGAGAAGAGGUGUCUCCACUGCAGUGGAUGGGCCAGGUGGAGAGGGGAGAGGGCCUGAGCCAAAAUGCUAAGGCCAAGUUGAGCGAUAAGACGGUGCCCAGUGGAAAACAUGAUCCACAAUAAAUUAAAACCACCUGUCUGUGGCAGAGAGCGGGAUGAACAGGCUGGAUGUCCCAUGAGGGCAGGGAUCUCCGUCCACGGUCUUCACUGAGCAGCCCUGGCACACAAUGUGUGCUUUAUAGAAAUAUGCUACCUGAAGGAAUGACGUCUCCCUUCUGGCCACAGCACCCUGGGUGCCCUUUGGGGAACCUCUGUCCUGCAUUCUUGGCUCAUGAGCUAUGAGUGAGGCAAGCCACCGCAUUUGGGAUCCAUGACCCUGGCCUGGAAGUCCGCACAUCCCAGACCACUGGCUACACCUGGGCAGGUGGUACCCACAAAAGGGGCUGAAAUCCCUGCCCCCACCCCCCCAAGCCUGAGUCCUGGCGCAAGGCUGCUUCUCCCAAGAAAAAGGAGCACCAUUUCUAAACUGACACCAUGGUACCUCAGAGGGUAACCCUGGCC
ensembl:lncRNA